UCUGAUUCCUGAACACAAGGUGGGAAUCGUUCUUUAUUCUGCUCCCUAUGUAGUGCACUUAUUUACAGAUCAGGGACCUACAGCCAACUGGUUCCUAACAGCAGAUGUAGAUUAUUUUAUACCUGCUGAAGUGCACUACCGAGUGAAAGCUUCCUGCUGCGUGUAGGGUAGGGCACAGAGAGAAGGGAGCGAGACAUGACUCUGCCUUCAACAGUCCACUAAAGCGCACAGAAUGCUAUACAUGUGGUAACACACAGAGAGAGUGUCCUGAAGUCCACUAUGUAGGGAGAUAAGUCAGUGUAUUGUAUUGUAUACGUUACACUCUGUAUUUAUACUGAUGGGUCACACACUAUUGCUUCUGAUGUAGUGCACUUGCCUCCAAUAAAGGGAGCAAGGAUCCAUUUGGAAACCAGCCACGGAAAAGCAAGAGGCUUCUUCAGUGUGUGUGUGCGUGCGUGCACGUCUUCCCGCAUCCCCUUUAAGCAGAGCACAUCGUUGCUGCCGACAUCUUGAAGAAAAGGCUUCCGGAUGGAUGUUGGUUUGAGGAGCAGAAGGAGGAGGAGGAGGAGGGAGGCAACUGCAGCAGUGACGCUGUGCAACGCAAAAACUGGGGAUUUACCACUAGGGCACCUCGAGUAACGGACAUGGAGGGGGGAACGUGCCUCAACAUACUGAGCUCACUGCUUUUAAAAUCAUCUCACACUCCCACUCACUCACACACACACACACACACACCCCUUUACAAUGUACAAAUGAGCACAAAACAGGAACACCUGCUGUAAGAGCAUUUACCAAUGACGGCAUCACAGUGAGAACAUUUACAGGAGGAAAUGAUUCUUCUAUCAAAAACAGAAAAAUACUUCUACUGUGACCUUCUGCUGCUCUACACACACACACACACACACACUCCAGUCCUCUGUAAUGGCUCGAAACAAACACACUGGACUGGAGCUAAACCGAUCAAAGACACGACAAGUUCAGCUGUGCAUCUGUUCCGAUAAAUAAUAUUAAUUAGAAAAAGGUGAUUAAAACCGAUUUGAGGAAGACGUCUGGACUGUAAACAGGGUUUAGAAUGGAGCUGUGAUCAGGAUCAGCAUGGAGAAGUACAGCACACAUCAAAUUCAAGGUCAGAAGAUUAGGAGAUCUAUUUAUCUAUCUGUCUGUCUGUCUGUCUGUUUAGGAUCAUGAAGGAAUUCCAAAGAGAACACAAGCUUAAAAGCAUCACAUCAUCAUUAUUAUCAUUAUUAUUAUUAUUAUUAUUAUGAUCUGAGACAGAGGUAGCCCACAGUACUUUUACUAUUCAGUGUUGCGGAUCCAUUAAGAGGACAUGUUUUAUAGCUGAAAUGUUUACAGACACAUUUUCAGAGCUACAUCAGGAGGCAUGGAGGCAGUAGAUGAUUUCUCAGCUGAAACACAGAGCCUACAUGUAGAGGCUGAUCUCUGGAUAAAACCCUGCAGUUUGCUCGGCUUCAUGUCUAACCCUGAGGACUACAUGACCCCGCAUUCUGAAGAAAGUUCUUAGCUGAUCUCUGAAUAAAGUGAGGAGGACUCUCGAGAAAGAUGAAGUUUUUACUAAAACACUCAUCUAUGUGAAGAAACCUGAUAAUAAACUCCUUUCAGCACCGGUCAUUCCGGCCACUUAA